rnacentral:tRNA from 1 species
UCCCUGGUGAUCUAGUAGUUAGGGAUUCAGCAUUGUCACUACUGUGGCUAGGGUUCAAUUCCUGACCUGGGAA